UUGGCCUGGAAUCAGUGAAUAUCAUUUCUAUGGGACACUGUCCUGAAAGAGAUAGGAAAACAUUUGCAAAAAUACUGUGAAAAAGGCCAUCAGCAGUAAUUGUCUAACUAAAGUUAAAUAUUCCAGUAUUCUAUCUGUCUGAAUUACAUUAUUGGAUUACUGAUUCAACUGUCUCUCUCCACCUGGAAAGCGGGCCCACAUUCAAACUUUCUUUUUUUUUUUUUUUUUUUUUUUUUUUGUUUUUUUUUUGGCAGUGCUUGUUCAGCCCUGCACGUAAGAAGUAGCAGGAACACAUCAGAUGCCUUCUGAUUGAGUCUUGUCACCCUAAAGGGGGCCUCUCUUCUAAAGCAGCAGUUGAUUCCUGGAUAAGACCCCAGAACAUGGUCCGUGGGAAGCUCGACUUCCAUCCCUCCAUGCUUCUGCCUGCAUAAGCAAGAACUCUCUUUCCACCGUGUUUUAUAUAACAUCAUGGGAAACAACAGAGGCAUUUUUAUGGCACUGGAGAAAAUAUAAAUGCCACUUCAUUUAGCAGAGAGAAAUAAAUAUGCUUAGUUCCCCCCACCCCCGCUGGACUAUUUCCUUGAUCUUUCUGACUGCAGAACAUGGAACAUUGUUGAGGAAUUAUAAGCAGUGUGUGAAUCUGUCUGUGGAAAUGCCUUCUUACCCAGGCCCUGAGCCCUGGUAGUGAUUUAAUACCUGAACAUGCCCCAUGCACCUGCCUUGGUGAACAUCGGUGGUCCCCAGUUGAGUGCCCACAGAGCCGCUAAAUGGCCAAGCCAGACCCAGACUCAGCCCCCCAACCCCUGUGCCCACGCCCAGAGAUUGACAAGAUACCCGAGAGUUUGUCAACUGAGCUCGAGGACAAAUAUUUUCAGUGGCUGUUUACAGCAUAACUGCUUUGGACGGACUGGGAGACUGAGUAAUGUUCCUCCGAAGAUCUUUAUGUUCUGAUGCCCGGAGCAUGUGCCUCGGCUACCUUUCAAGAUGUGAUGGAAACAUAAGGUGAAUAUUGAAAUUAAAAAAAAAAAACUUAUGACACUUAAAAGAGACAUUGCCAUUAUUCCCCCUCAAAAUCUCCUCCUUUUCUUCAGACACACUUAUCCCGUGACUGUUGCCACUUUCCGAAGCAGCUCUGGAGGUCCUCUUUCAGGGAAGUCUUCAGCUGUACCGUCUUGGCUGCCUGGACCACUGAAUCGACUCAGAACGUUCAUCUUUCAUAGACUUCUUGACUUUGUGGACGAUCCAGAGGUCUCACAGUGCCAGAUCCAAUAAAGAAAGUGAAUGAGGACACACUGUUGUGUUUUUACAAACCUGCCUUUCUGUUGGAAGGCACUCAGCAACAGUAUUCACCAUAUACAUAUAUAUAUAUAUAGUCACCAAAUACACUUAGUUAGACAGUCAUUAAAGAGGGCUCCCAGAACUGUGUCAAAAUGUGACAAGAAUGACAGAGUUUGUUCAAAGCAAAGGGGAGUAUUUU
rnacentral:lncRNA from 1 species